rnacentral:misc_RNA from 1 species
GUAGGUGAACCUGCGGAAGGAUCAUUAUUGAAUAUUCUUGAUGGGUUGUAGCUGGCUCUUCGGGGCAUGUGCACGCCUGUCUUGAUUCUAUUCAUCCACCUGUGCACCUUUUGUAGUCUUGGGGUUGAAAAGCGGUCAAAUAUCGGACGGUUAUUGUGGCUGUUCCGGAUGUGAGGAUUGCUGAGUUGCUGAGUGCGAAAGCAUACAGCUUUUCUCAAUGUGACUUGUAAACUCUCCCUCGAGCACUAUGUUUUCAUAUACCACAUAGUAUGUUGUAGAAUGUGAUCAAUGGGCCUAUGUGCCUAUAAUAAUCAUAUACAACUUUCAGCAACGGAUCUCUUGGCUCUC